UACAGAGGUCUCAAGCGUUGUUCGGAAUUACUGGGCGUAAAGGGUGCGUAGGCGGCGCGGUAAGUCGGGUGUGAAAUCUCGGAGCUUAACUCCGAAACUGCAUUCGAUACUGCCGUGCUUGAGGACUGGAGAGGAGACUGGAAUUUACGGUGUAGCGGUGAAAUGCGUAGAUAUCGUAAGGAAGACCAGUGGCGAAGGCGGGUCUCUGGACAGUUCCUGACGCUGAGGCACGAAGGCCAGGGGAGCAAACGGG
rnacentral:rRNA from 1 species